rnacentral:rRNA from 1 species
CCAGACUCCUACGGGAGGCAGCAGUGGGGAAUAUUGCACAAUGGGGGAAACCCUGAUGCAGCAACGCCGCGUGAGUGAAGAAGUAUUUCGGUAUGUAAAGCUCUAUAAGCAGGGAAGAAGAAGGACGGUACCUGACUAAGAAGCCCCGGCUAACUACGUGCCAGCAGCCGCGGUAAUACGUAGGGGGCGAGCGUUAUCCGGAUUUACUGGGUGUAAAGGGAGCGUAGACGGUUAAUCAAGUCUGAAGUGAAAGCCCGCGGCUCAACUGCGGGACGGCUUUGGAAACUGAGUAACUGGAGUGCUGGAGGGGCAGGCGGAAUUCCUGGUGUAGCGGUGAAAUGCGUAGGUAUCAGGAGGAACACCGGUGGCGAAGGCGGCCUGCUGGGCAGUAACUGACGUUGAGGCUCGAAAGCGUGGGGAGCAAACAGGAUUAGAUACCCCCGUA